rnacentral:rRNA from 1 species
AGCAUGUGGUUUAAUUCGAUGCAACGCGAAGAACCUUACCUGGGCUUGACAUCCCGAGAAUCCCCUGGAACAGGGGAGUGCCUUUCGGGGAACUCGGAGACAGGUGCUGCAUGGCUGUCGUCAGCUCGUGUCGUGAGAUGUUGGGUUAAGUCCCGCAACGAGCGCAACCCUUGUCUUUAAUUGCCAGCAUUCAGUUGGGCACUUUAAAGAGACUGCCGGUGUUAAGCCGGAGGAAGGUGGGGAUGACGUCAAGUCCUCAUGGCCUUUAUGCCCAGGGCUACACACGUGCUACAAUGGGUGGUACAAAGAGAUGCCAACUCGCGAGAGCGCGCCAAUCUCAGAAAGCCAUCCUCAGUUCGGAUUGGAGUCUGCAACUCGACUCCAUGAAGUUGGAAUCGCUAGUAAUCGCGGAUCAGCACGCCGCGGUGAAUACGUUCCCGGGCCUU